ensembl:lncRNA
AAGAAAAAUUGGUUACUGUCAGGAUUGCUAGGUCUGGAAACAAAAAAAACCCAAUAGCUAUUCAAAACUAGCCCAAUCACGUUUUUUUCCCCAUGGUUUUCCCCUCCAUCAAAAUUGCAGUGGGAGUGGAGGGAGAUGGAUUUAACCUGCUGACUAAAAAACAACCAGCGGAAAACAACAGCACAAAAGUAGCCUAAUUCCACGGUGUCUGGAGCACAGAGAAAAGAAAAACAUGAGUAAAUUACAUUCUUUUUGUGAAUUGCCCCUGGAGUCAGCAAGAACGCAGGAAGAUGGCAAAUUUACAUCCCCAAAGACAAUUUGUACAUGGAGCAUAACAGCAAAAAUAGGCUCAUAAAUCACAUCAGCUGUGGCCCUGAGUGCAAUCGAUUACCUCACGGCAAAAGGAAUGGGGACAUUAAAGCCUCUGGUCCCUAAACAUCCACAUCAGGAGUCUCUGUAUGGGAUAUAUGAGAGCAGGACCCUCCAGAGAUUAGGAGGAGGAAAGGGGACAUCAGCCACCAGAUCCAGUCUGUAUCCAGGUCAGAUGGUCACUGCAGUCACCCGGAUCCAGUAUGUAUCCAGCCCAGAUGGUGGUCAGCACCUGGGAAGGACCUCUACAGCCCUGAAUGUCCGCGGAGACCAGGACAACUAGAUGAGCCCCAGAUACAGAUCCCCUGUAAAGACCUUGUCUCAGAUGACCACCGGGACAAGACCACAGGAACCAGUUGAGUCCUCUGCACAAUUUGUCUUUGCUGCAGCCUGGAAUUGAACUGCUGGUUUCGUCUGGUCAGAGGAGAACUGGCCCCAGACUGAGCCUGGUUUCUCCCAAGGUUUUUUCUCCAUUCUGUCACCGAUGGAGUUUUGGUUCCUCUGGCUUGCUUAGUUGGGGACACUUCAUUUCCAGUGACAUCGUCGACUUGAUUGCACAGAUACUAUUUAAACUGAACUGAGAUGAUGAAAUCAAUGAAUUCAAUGAUAAACUGCCUUUAACUGAAAAAUGAGUGUUUACUAUUGUCAUUUUGCAUUAGACACUAUUUUCCUAAUUAAUGCUGUACAGUAAGCUUUGACACAAUCUGUAUUGUUAAAAGCGCUAUACAGGUCCUUCUAAAAAAAUUAGCAUAUUGUGAAAAAGUUCAUUAUUUUCCAUAAUGUAAUGAUAAAAAUUAAACUUUCAUAUAUUUUAGAUUCAUUGCACA